rnacentral:tRNA from 1 species
UACGAAGAUACCACGAUGAGUGUCCACACAGAUUGAUUAGGUUUAGAAAGUAAAAGAGAUACUAGUGUCCCGUUCGUCUAGAGGCCUAGGACACCGCCCUUUCACGGCGGUAACAGGGGUUCGACUCCCCUACGGGAUACCAUCUUUAAGUAUUCUCUUCUAUCAGAGUAUUUAAAAAUGGUUCAUUAGUUUGAAUCAAGCUCUUUAACAAUUUGGAAAGCUGACUGAUUGAUUACUUACGAGUAAUUCAAUCAAAUUUAAAAGUUCUCAAUGAUUAUCUUUCAUUAGAUAAACACAACAAACACAUUCAAGUGUCUUGUAUUCGAAUGAUCAGAAAUGAUUGUUCAUUUUUUGAUUCUACUUUUUAUUAAAAAGUGGAAACAAAAAGUAAAUUGAGUCCGGCAAACAGUUAUCAAGAAUUAACCCUUCUUGAUGACAACCAAAAACCUUGGUUAGUUGCCAUACGCUUAUUUGUCUUCACUUUUUAAAGUGAAAGCAAAUAGAAACCCUUUCGGGUUGUAUGGUUAAGUG